rnacentral:rRNA from 1 species
UACGAAGGGGACUAGCGUUGUUCGGAAUCACUGGGCGUAAAGCGCACGUAGGCGGAUAUGUCAGUCAGGGGUGAAAUCCCGGGGCUCAACCUCGGAACUGCCUUUGAUACAGCAUGUCUUGAGUCCGAUAGAGGUGGGUGGAAUUCCUAGUGUAGAGGUGAAAUUCGUAGAUAUUAGGAAGAACACCGGUGGCGAAGGCGGCCCACUGGCCUGGUAUUGACGCUGAGGUGCGAAAGCGUGGGGAGCAAACAGG